ensembl:lncRNA
GGGAAUCCAGAGUGAUGCAGAAUGGAUUCAAAUAAACUUGGGUCCAUUUAAUCAAUUUGUAGCAUACCAAGAUCUGAAAGUCUUCAACCUCUCCCAGGUAAGCCUGUCAUUGCAAAGUCAAUCUCAUUUCAACUCUGUCCAAAACUGCCAUCUACUCACGCCAAUAGAUGUAGAGAAGUUAAAAGACAAGAUAUUCAUUCAGGCUCUUGGUUUGCAUUCCCAGGAGGCCAUUGUAAGCAUCCUCUCACCUCAAGAGAAAGCACAGCUCAUACUGGACCCGAGCAGUGGAGCUUUGGAGAAUGUGACCCUUGUAAAAGGCCUGCUCACAAACUUGACACAGUCUGGCGAUGUGGGGCAGCUCACUCAGUUCUUCCAGGCUUUUGCAGAGGUCAACAAACAGAUGAAUACGAGCUUCAUCAAAAACACAGCUGUACGAGACACAAUCUUGAACCUGACUUUGACAGCUCUUGCUCCAGAAUUUGAGACAUUUGAGCCUUUGGGCUUUGAGCUGUGGUUCCAGCAGUAUUUGCCUCCUGUUAUAGCCAGCUUCCAACCAGACAGCUUGUGGGUGAUCCCCAUAAACAUCAGCUGUGCUUCCUAUACAGCUAUGUAAGAGACAGUUCUCAAAGACAGAAGAAAUGUUGGCCAUUUCUGGAUCCCUGUUACCAGUCAAAUUCACAAAUUUGUUUUUUUCUUCUCUUCAGACUUACUGGUCUGCAGCAAAGUUUGACAUUCCUGCCAUUGGACCUUUCGAUGGUCUUAAGAGAAAGCAUACAACUGAUCCAAGACACAUUCCCACGUACGUGCCACAGGAACUAUGCUGAGAUGUUUACUUCCUAAAUAAUGCCACC